UAGAUAGAAGCUCGCUGGUUUAGGGCGCCUAGCUGUUAACUAGGAUACUUAUGGGAUCGAGGCCCGUCUAUCUAG
rnacentral:tRNA from 1 species